GAGGGUAUAGCUCAGUGGUAGAGCACGUGCCUGGCCUGCAUGAGGUUCUGGGUUCUAUCUCCAAUGCCUCCA
rnacentral:tRNA from 1 species